GCACGCCGGAGACUUUCAUGACUGACAACUGCGAUGCCAUGAGGAAAGCCCUAGCAGCAACCUGGCCUGGAGCUCGACAGUUCCUCUGCAUUUUUCAUUUUCUACAACAAGUAUGGAGGUGGCUAUUGGACUCGAGACACGAAAUCAAGAAAGAAGAUCGCCAGGAACUUAUGACUAUAGUGAAAAGCCUCGUAUAUUCAGCAACGAAGAACGAUUUAUUCACGUCAUGGGGAAAAUUCAAGGCUAAUCCUCUUUCGGAGAAGUAUCCUAACUUUAGAAGCUAUCUAGGCUCACUGAUGGAAAGGAGUGACGAGUGGGCGAUAACGUUCAGGGCAGGUGCGGUGCUACGUGGACAUCACACCAACAACUUCUGUGAGGCAACAAUGUGCAUCAUUAAGGAAGUCGUUCUUAAUAGAUGCAAGGCAUACAACGCAACGCAGCUGAUCAUUUUCAUGGCCGAAAUCUUUGACAGCUACAUGAAGAAGAGGCUGGUGGACGUUGCGCUUGGCAGACGGAGAGUGAAAUCAUUAAGCACGGCUACACUGCCUCUAGAAAUGG